rnacentral:rRNA from 1 species
AAACCAACAGGGAUUGCCUCAGUAGCGGCGAGUGAAGCGGCAUCAGCCCAGCUUUGAAACCUCCUCGGAGGGUUGUAAGGGGCAAGGCAGGCGCAAGGCAGGAAGUUGCUUGGAACAGCACGCCACAGAGGGUGAGAGCCCCGUGUGCCGGCGCCGCGGUCUUGCCCGGACGAGUCGAGUUGUUUGGGAAUGCAGCUCCAAUCGGGUGGUAUACUCCAUCCACGGCUAAACAUCAGCGAGAGACCGAUAGCAAACAAGUACAGUGAUGGAAAGAUGAAAAGCACUUUGAAAAGAGAGUGAAAGAGGACGUGAAAUUGGGAGGAGGGAAGGGUAGGUGGCAGAGCAGGCGAGCGCGGAGCGAGGCUGCGACAUCCAGUGAACGUAGGUCCGUCCUUUGGUCGGUCUGUUAUAGCGCUGGACAUAGCCGUCCCGCUUCGCGGCACGCCUAUUGUCUGCCAC